UGCACUGUUGAUGUGCCAUGUAACAAGUGAUAGCGUUUAAUAACAUGUUGAGAUGACAGACAGAUGUACUAUUGGUGUUGAACUAGCAUGUAUCAAGAGUAGAGAUGAGAGACAGGUGCGUGGCUGAUGUUAAACUAGCGUGUAUCAAGAGUAGAGAUGAGAGACAGGUGCACUAAUGGUGUUAAACUAGCAUGUGUCGAGGGUAGAGAUGAGAGACAGGUGCGCUAUUGGUGUUAAACUAGCAUGUGUCAAGAGUAGAGGUGAGUGACAGGUGCGCUAUUGGUGUUAAACUAGCAUGUGUCAAGAGUAGAGAUGAGAGACAGGUGCGCUAUUGGUGUUAAACUAGCAUGUGUCAAGACAAGAGAUGAGAGACAGGUGCGCUAUUGGUGUUAAACUAGCAUGUGUCAAGAGUAGAGAUGAGAGACAGGUGCGCUAUUGGUGUUAAACUAGCAUGUGUCAAGAGUAGAGAUGAGAGACAGGUGCGCUAUUGGUGUUAAACUAGCAUGUGUCCAGAGUAGAGAUGAGAGACAGGUGCGCUAUUGGUGUUAGACUAGCAUGUGUCAAGAGUAGAGAUGAGAGACAAGUGCGCUAUUGGUGUUAAACUAGCAUGUGUCAAGAGUAGAGAUGAGAGACAGGUGCGCUAUUGGUGUUAGACUAGCAUGUGUCAAGAGUAGAGAUGAGAGACAGGUGCGCUAUUGGUGUUAGACUAGCAUGUGUCAAGAGUAGAGAUGAGAGACAGGUGCGCUAUUGGUGUUAAACUAGCAUGUGUCAAGAGUAGAGAUGAGAGACAGGUGCGCUAUUGGUGUUAGACUAGCAUGUGUCAAGAGUAGAGAUGAGAGACAGGUGCGCUAUUGGUGUUAAACUAGCAUGUGUCAAGAGUAGAGAUGAGAGACAGGUGCGCUAUUGGUGUUAAACUCGCAUGUGUCAAGAGUAGAGAUGAGAGACAGGUGCGCUAUUGGUG